GUUUCUUAGUAAAGAACUAAGAUCCAGGAGGGAGAUGCCUGCGAGAUGAACUAUUCAGAGAAGCAGAAUUAGAAAGUGAAAAGUGAGGGAGUGGCACACCUGAAAUACCCACCGGCAGUGAGCAAUGUGAGUUUCGCACAUCUGCAUAACCAGGUACACAAGUCCGGAGUUCAUGCUGGUAGUUCUCUAGCAAGAUCUAGGAAGCAGUUCUUCAUGAGACUAUUGUUCUCGUAUUCACUCCAGAAACCAUAACAAC